AUGAAUAUUAAACUAAAAAAAAAUGAAAUUAGUGUGCUGCUUUCUGGAAACUCAACUAUUUAACCUUUAUUUUAUAAACGAACAUCUCACUCUUGUGUUUGAUUUUUCCAACUAAUAAAGAAGAAAAAUUCUUGUAUCUUUUAGAAAAAAGGCUACGUCGUAGUUCUAUUUCACAAGGCUAUGUCGUAGUUGUAUUCUAAACAAAUACAUAUAUAUGUUUUCAAGGUGUACGUCUAUUUGGAAAUCUACUAUAUAAAGCGACAUAAUAUCCUUACUGGAACUUGUAUCACUGGCACAAGGAGAAAGAUCCACGAGAUCUGAAGAAGAGUGAAAAAGAAAAGAAAGAUGGAUCCCUUGAUGUUUUGAAAAAGAAAAAAAAGAAGCGUUCCAGCAAAAGAAAAUCCAAAGGAGGCGGUGGUUUUGGCGGUUUCGGCGGUGGGUGUGGAGGUGGUGGUGGAUGUUAAUAAGUAAAUAAUUUAAUAAGAUAAUGUUUAACCAAUUCCGUAGUUCUUUAAAUAUUUCUUGUGUAUUGUGUUAUCAUAUGCGUCUAUAAGAUCUUAAGUUCUUAAAGUGUGGUUUCUCGUGAGAAAGAAAAUUGAAUGUGUAUAAUGAAACAAGUUGAAUAGGACCA